CCCUUAGAUGUCCGGGGCCGCACGCGCGCUACACUGAAGGAAUCAGCGUGGCUUUCUCCCUGACCCGAAAGGGUUGGGAAACCCGUUGAAUCUCCUUCGUGAUAGGGAUUGGGGCUUGAAAUUGUUCCCCAUGAACGAGGAAUUCCCAGUAAGCGCGAGUCAUAAGCUCGCGUUGAUUACGUCCCUGCCCUUUGUACACACCGCCCGUCGCUACUACCGAUUGAACGGUUUAGUGAGGGCCUCGGAUUGGUCUCGGCCCGCUCUUUACCGGGCGGCGCAGUUGGUCGAGAAGACGCUCGAACUUGAUCGUUUAGAGGAAGUAAAAGUCGUAACA
rnacentral:rRNA from 1 species